rnacentral:rRNA from 1 species
UACCAGCACCCCGAGUGGUCGGGACGAUUAUUGGGCCUAAAGCAUCCGUAGCCGGUUCUGCAAGUCUCCCGUUAAAUCCAACUGCUCAACAGGUGGGCUGCGGAGGAUACUACAGAGCUAGGAGGCAGGAGAGGCAAGCGGUACUCAGUGGGUAGGGGUAAAAUCCGUUGAUCCAUUGAAGACCACCAGUGGUGAAGGCGGCUUGCCAGAAUGCGCUCGACGGUGAGGGAUGAAAGCUGGGGGAGCAAACCGG